ensembl:lncRNA
GCUUCUUUCACUUAGCAUAAUGCUUUCCGUGUUCAUCCAUGUUGUAGCACUAUCAAUGUUUCACUCAUUUUUAUGGGUCAUGUUCAUUACAUGGACACACCACGUUUUGUUUGUCCAUUCCUCAGUUGAUUGACAUUUGGGUGAUUUCCACAUGUUGACUAUUGCAAACAAUGCUGUUACAAAUAUUUGUGAGCAAGUUCUUGUGUGGCUGUGUGUUUUCAGUUCUUACGGGGAACAUACCUAGGAGUAAAAUUUCUGGGUAAAAUGGUAACUUAGUGGGACUAACAAUGUUUUCCAAAGUGGCUGCACCAUUUUACAUUCCCACCAGCAGUGUACAAGGGUUCCAUUAUCUCCACAUCCUCAUGAGACACUUGUUAUUUGCAAUAAUACAAAUUACUUUUGCAUGUUGAUCUUGUAUCCUGCAACCUUGAUGAACUCGUUUAUUAGCUCAAAUUUUUUUUACUGGAUUCUUUAGGAUUUCCUAUAUACAAAAUCAUGUCAUCUGCAGAAUUUUCAGUUCUUCCUUUCCAAUCUGCAUGCCCUUUUACUUUUUUCUUGCCUAAUUACUCUGGCUGGAACUUCCAGUAUCAUGCUAAAUAGAAGUGGUGAGGGUGGACAUUCUUGUCUUGUUCCUUAUCUUCUGUGGAAAGCACUGUCUUUCACUAAGUAUUAUGUCAGCUGUGGGUUUUUUGUAGAUGUCUUUUAUCAGGUUAAGGAAGUUCCCUUCUAUUCCUAGUUUGUUGAGUGUUUUUAAUCACAAAAGGGUGUUUUAUUUUGUCAAAUCCUUUUUCUUCAAUUGCGAGGAUCACAUGGUUUUUUUUUUAUUCUAUUGAUAUGGAGUAUUUCAUUGAUUUUUCUGAUGUUACACUAACCUUGAAUGCUUACGAUAAAUUCCACUUGGUCAUGGUGUACAAUUCUCUUUAUGUGUUGCUGGAUUUGGGUUGUUACUAUUGUGUUGAGCAUUUUUGUACCUGUUCCUGAGAGACAAUGGUCUGUAGACUUUUUUCACUUUGUGUCUUUGUCUCCUUUUGGUUAUCAGCAUAAUGCUGGCCUCAGAAUGUGUUGGGAAAUGUUUCCUCCCUUUCUACUUUUUGGAAGAGUUUGUGAAGAAUUGGUAUUAAUUUGUUACAUAUUUUGGUAGAAUUCAGUGAAGCCAUCCAGGCUUGCGCUUUUCUUUGUGGACAGUUUUUUGAUUACUAAUUCAAUAUAUUCCCUAUAAUCCUAACACACGAACAUUUCUUAUGUGAUUUACAUUCCAUAUGAGAGGGAUAAAACACUAAAUAGCAGUCUAAGUGAGGUUUUGUUACUACAGCAGUUCAGGUCAGAUCAGCUUUUGUCACCAAUGACUCAUUCAAAAGCCUACCAGAGAUUUCUGCAUUCUGCAUCAUGGCUAAGAAAUCAGGAGCCAUCUUUCCUACAGUGCUACUAAGCUGGCCAUGCCCUGCAUCUUCUUGUCUAGCUUGUAGGGCCAGCUUCCCUCUUUGGCUGGGCACUGAGUACCAUAAGCUACUAGAGGAAAUUAAGGGAUUUUUCCCUUCUGGGAGAGAUUUGUCAAGUUCUGGUCUGGUCAGUCCUAAGACCCCACAUCAAAGUCAAAACAGUCUGGGUCUGUUCCCCCAUCUGGAAAACACAGAUGGACAGGGAAGGACUAAAGGGAGUGGGGAUUUCCUCCAGGCAGGAGGCUGAUGACAAGGAAUGUGUUUCAACUUCAGAUGUUUUGAUUAGAACUGAGAAGAGGAGAGGUACAGGGCCUUCCUUCCGGCUGCCUCUUGUGUAAGUUCUUAGGGUUUGAAAAAGAGAAGUGGCAUCAAGUCCACUUCCUCAAUUUCUCUGCCCUCUUUCCUCAGCCAAAGCCCCCACUGAAGCCUUGUCCUCACCCUCCAGGACAAUCAUCUCAGCCUCCUCCCUGGUCUGCUAGAUUUGUUUGACCCCAGAAGGCUCUCCUCAAGUCUUACUGGACCCUCUCCCUCAAGGCAAGUCCAAGCCCUUCACCCUGCUAUCUGGAUCUUUUUGGGAUCUGGCCCCUACAUACUUCUCUAUGUUCACCUGUGUCACUCCAUUUCACUUUCCCCACUCUCCAUGCCAAAUUACUUCUGUUUCCAUGAAGAGUAAGGAGCAGAGAAAGCUUCCAAUGUAGAGGUUCACAUUAUAAGCAAAAGGCUGGAGAUGUUGAAGCAUGUGUGGGUUUGCAGGAACCAAGAAUGUUUCCCAGGGAGGAGUGGGUGGUGAGGCUAGGAAGACUGGAAUCCUGGUUGCCAAGGUGACUGCAUCCUUCCCUUUACUCCCCUAAUCCAGGUGUCACCAAGGCCCAAUCUGUCUCCUCGGCAAUCUUUCCAUUUCCUUUUUUACCCAAAAUCUCCCUAACUAUACAUUACCGCCUCCAGUUAAAACUCCUGUCUCAUACCAGAAUCCUCCCGGGGCUCCCAGCCUCAGGUCUCCUCCUUCGAUUCUAAUGCUGUCACUCCUUUGCCAAAAACCCCUGUGGCUGCUUGUGCCUUCCAGAAUGAAGUUUAAAUCUUCAGCUUGCUCCCAGCUGCUGUAUACACUCUGGAAUCAGCCUCAUCUCCUUAUACUGUUGAUGCCCCCACACGUUAGUAGCAGAGCUAAGUUGGAACUAAAAAUUUUGUCUCUGGACCACAGGCAGUAGACUGUUACAGUGGCACGCCCAAUAAACCACACCUGCAGGUUUCACAUCUUACGUGGCUCCCUACCACAAUGACUCUGGGCUUGGCUAUGCGACUUGUUUUGGCUUGUGAUGCAAGCAGAGGCUUGGAAAACAGUUGUAAUCUGGAACUUGUUCUCUUGGAAACUUCUGUGGAGCUGGAAGCUGUCAGAUAAAGAGGUCCAGCCACCCUGGAGCGGUCACUGUACCAGGCCUUAGCUGAGGUGCCAGACAUAGGAGUGAAAAAGUCAUCUUGAUCAUUCCACCCCAGUACACACCCCAAGGAGCAGAUGAACCUGCCAACUGAGCAGAGCCUAGACUGCAGAUUAUGAGGAAUCAUGUUUUUAUUGUUUUAAGUCACUAAGUUUUGGGGGUGGGUUGUUAUGCAGCAAAAUAUAACUGGAACAACAUGGAUCAUUCAUUUCAAUGUUCCUUCAACAAUUAUUGGUAGGUUGCCUACUAAGCUAGAACAUUCAACAUCAUGCUCAGUGAUCCUAUUGCCCCAGCUCCCAAUCUCAUCAAUUCUUCACUCAUUCAGUCCUUCAAAUAUUUAUAUCCUAGGAAAGGUAAUUUGUGCCAGGGGUAGGUGGGCUGAGUUUAAACCACAGGCCCCUUCUGCUGUGUUAUAGCCCUGAUUAUCCUGAGACCUCCUGAGGGACAUGGCCUGACCCACACGGGGUUCUCUGGCAAGUUACGGCUAACCCUGACUGACUGCUUCUCACGUGCCAUGCACUGUUUCACAUUUUAUAUGUAUGAACUUAUUUAGUCUGCACAACUGGCCCUUUGAUUUAGAUUCUAC